UACGUAGGUGGCGAGCGUUGUCCGGAUUUAUUGGGCGUAAAGCGCGCGCAGGCGGUUGUCUAAGUCUGCUGUGAAAUCUCCCGGCUCAACUGGGAGGGGGCGGCGGAGACUGGGCGACUGGAGGGACCUAGAGGCCGGUGGAAUUCCCGGUGUAGUGGUGAAAUGCGUAGAGAUCAGGAAGAACACCCGUGGCGAAGGCGGCCCACUGGGCCGGUACUGACGCUGAGGCACGAAGGCGUGGGGAGCGAACGGG
rnacentral:rRNA from 1 species